GUCAUGUUUACAAGGAUGGUCGAAUGAGUUAUCGCAUGAUAUUUUGCGGUAAUUUUACAUGUUGCAGAGGAUUUCUCGUUGCUAUUGGCAACGCGAAUUAAAACGCGGGUCCAAGGAAUGUUCUCCAAUCACCAGACCGAUAUCUUUAGAGAUGACCGGAUCCGAUCCCGUCGGUAGAGAUUUAGCAGGUUAACAAAUCACUCACUUUUGCCAAACCCGUUUUUUUAUUCAUAAUCCGGUUAUGAAUAAAGAACAUCUGUUGAGAUUUAGCUUGCUGGUCAUGCAUGGAGUGAUCAUGAACAUGCUCCCUCCCGGGUACUGUUCUUAUCGUGGUAUGAUUAUCUCAGGUUGUCUUGUGUGAAUUUCUAGCAGCUAGUUGGCCUACUAGUGCAAAUUAUGCUCUAUCGUGUGCUCCAAUUCUAGAUUAAGUUAUUGGUUGAAAACGCGUGAUUCUUCACCACCAUUGGCAUUGCAUGUCCACGUGCCAGAGACCAGACCUGUACAAUGUACACCUGAAGAUGUCAGAAGAGCUGCACUGAAAAGACCCCACAGGGGCCUACUGUCUGGAGCAGUUGGCUGACCUGUCUCAUGAGGAUGAACAAGAGCAGAGAACAUGGCCAGCGUAACAAAUAUGGAAAAAAGAUUGAUAGACUCAUGAUGGAUGUUUGAUCCCUGAAGAAUGAGAUUAGGCUGCGGAAGAAGGAGCGUCUGCUGGCGCACCAGUCUGAGUAUCUGAGUGCAUGCCAGCAUGUCAUCGACGAGCAGGAGGAGGAUCUGCUGGAUUCCACCAAAGACCUGGACCUUGGAAAACGAGAGAACAUCUCCCUCCAACACUCCCAAAGGAAGAGGUGGGAGACUGGCCA